UCUACGGGUGGCAGCAGUGGGGGAUCUUGCACAAUGGGCGGAACCCUGAUGCAGCGACGCCGCGUGAGUGAAGGAGCGUUUCGGCUCGUAAAGCCCUAUCGUCAGGGAAGAAGGUGACGGUACCUGGCCAGUAAGCCCCGGCUAACUACGUGCCCGCAGCAGCGGGACUACGUAGGGGGCAAGCGUUAUCCGUAUUUACUGGGUGUCAAGGGGGCGCAGACGGCAAUGCCCGCACGGAGUGAAAGCGCUGGGCCCAACCCCGGGAAUGCUUCUGGAACAGCAUGGCUGGAGUACAGGCGGGGCAGGUGGAAUUCCUAGUGUAGCGGUGAAAUUCGUAGAUAUUAGGAGGAACACCGGUGGCGAAGGCGGCCUUCUGGCCUGUGACUGACGUUGAGGCCCGAAGGCGUGGGGAGCAAACAGGAUUAGAUACCCCUGUAGUC
rnacentral:rRNA from 1 species